GCUUAUAACAAUGAUUGACAGGGAGCUAAGAUGGAGGUGGCUCUCUCUAUACUGACUGCCAGGUGUAAAGGGCGGAGCUUAUAACAAUGAUUGACAGGGAGCUAAGAUGGAGGUGGCGUUCUCUAUACUGACUGCCAGGUGUAAUGGGCGGAGCUUACAACAAUGACUGACAGGGAGCUAAGAUGGAGGCGGCUCUCUCUAUGCUGACUGCCAGGUGUAAAGGCGGAGCUUAUAACAAUGAUUGACAGGGAGCUAAGAUGGAGGUGGCUCUCUCUAUGCUGACUGCCAGGUGUAAAGGGCGGAGCUUAUAACAAUGGCUGACAGGGAGCUAAGAUGGAGGCGGCUCUCUCUAUACUGACUGCCAGGUGUAAAGGGCGGAG